rnacentral:rRNA from 1 species
GAUGAACGCUGGCGGCGUGCUUAACACAUGCAAGUCGAACGAGAAAUGGAGACGGAAACCUUCGGGCGGAAGGCUUCAUUUCGAGUGGCGGACGGGUGAGUAACGCGUGGGUAACCUGCCUCAUACAGGGGGAUAACAGUUGGAAACGACUGUUAAUACCGCAUAAGACCACAGCACCGCAUGGUGCGGGGGUAAAAACUCCGGUGGUAUGAGAUGGACCCGCGUUCGAUUAGCCAGUUGGCGGGGUAACGGCCCACCAAAGCGACGAUCGAUAGCCGAUCUGAGAGGAUGACCGGCGACAUUGGGACUGAGACACGGACCAAACUACUACGGGAGGCAGCAGUGGGGAAUAUUGCACAAUGGGGGAAAGCCUGAUGCAGCGACGCCGCGUGAGUGAAGAAGUACUUCGGUAUGUAAAGCUCUAUCAGCAGGGAAGAAAAUGACGGUACCUGAGGAAGAAGCCCCGGCUAACUACGUG